rnacentral:rRNA from 1 species
CAGUCGCCACGGUAAUACGAAGGGGGCUAGCGUUGUUCGGAAUUACUGGGCGUAAAGCGCACGUAGGCGGACAUUUAAGUCAGGGGUGAAAUCCCGGGGCUCAACCCCGGAACUGCCUUUGAUACUGGGUGUCUAGAGUAUGGAAGAGGUGAGUGGAAUUCCGAGUGUAGAGGUGAAAUUCGUAGAUAUUCGGAGGAACACCAGUGGCGAAGGCGGCUCACUGGUCCAUUACUGACGCUGAGGUGCGAAAGCGUGGGGAGCAAACAGGAUUAGAUACCCGCGUAGUCCCUGUCUCUUAUAC